rnacentral:lncRNA from 1 species
GAGAUGAUUCACGAACCACGUUUGAUAUGAUUUGACCCCAACAAUAAGGAAAGAUCAUAAGCAUCCUAAGAUUGUUCAUCAUCUCGAAAGUGUUUGGAUGUACUUCAACUUCUUCCAUUUUAUUCUCAUUUAGUAAUAUACAUUGUAUUACAUCUGACCCCUGAAAGUAAAUCAAUGUAAUUAUGAAAAAAACUAAAUAUGAAAUGUAGCAUUGUAGUUUAACAACUAAGUGAUUAUUAAUUUAUCAGAGAGUAUAUCUAUGUGACUUGUUCAAUUGAGUAAUGAUAAAAUGUACCUUGUUCUUUCUUAAGACAUCACGAAUUUCUUCAGCCUUGAACAAUCUGCUACGUUUUCCAGGAUGCUCGGGACACUCUUUACGAACAAUUUCUUGUAUUAGAUCGUGCAUCACAAUUCUACCAUCCGAAAUAGAUAUGAGGCAUUUAUCUUUGAGAACAUCCAUUCCGAUCUUAGAAGAGAAACCACAAUCAUCUAGUGUUUCUGCUACUACAAUUUCCCCGUGUCCUCUAUAAAAGCAAGCAAUGUCAAGAAAUAUAUUCUUCUCCUCCUCACGGAGCCCAUCGUAACUUAAUUUUAAUACAUUGAAAAUAUUAUGAUCUUGACACUUCUCCAAGUUUUGCAACUGACUUUCCCAUGCUUCUCUUUGUCUGCCAUAUAACAAUGAACCCAAAAUUUGGAGAACUAANGGAACNCCUNUUGCAUAUCGCAACACCUUUACUGACAAGUCCAUGNAAGUAAUUUCUUNUGAAGAAUUUUGUNUAAAAGCAUGUAAGUUAAAAAGUUUUAGAGAAUCAUGAAAAUUCAACUCCUUAAGUUCGUAGAUAUCAUCAGCCCCAGCAUUCUUAAGCACUUGUCUAUCUCUACUGGUCAUAAUGAUUCUACUGCCUUGCCCAAAGCUAUCACGUUCUCCCAUUAAUUUGUUAAGUUGAGUUGAAUCUGUCACAUCAUCAAGAAUGAGGAGGACCUUUGUUCGUUUGAGUCUUCCAUUGUAAUAUGAUAAAUGAGUGGAUGAUGUUUCCUUUAGAAGCUCAGACUUAUAUUUGUUUAUGAUAUUAUAUAUUCCCUCUUUUUGUAGUUUUUCUUGAACAUCUAAAAUAAGACUAUGGGAAUCAAAUUGCAUUGCCAAUGUGUGAUAUAAUUGCUCAGAAAUCGUAGUUUUUCCUAUUCCUCCCAUGCCACAAAUUCCUAUGAUCCUAACAUCUGGUGACUCUAAAUGCAACAAGGACUGAAUUCCUUCUAUGUGUUUUUCAAUACCGAUGAUUUUUUUAUCAUAACUGAUGGAAUACCGAUUUAGUUUUCUUAAAAUAUCUUCCACAAUUUCUUCAACAAGUUUGUAUUCUGGCCUGGAAAAUGACUUGGGAAAUAAAGUAUUAGCAUUGAAGCACAAAGACAUAACUAAAAUAAAGAANAAUACAGAGCCAAGAAAAGUAAACAUCAUUGAAUAAAUUCAUGGAUGGAUUCAAGCUUUGAGUUCUAGAUAAAAAUAAAUAAAUUAUAUAUGUAAUCAAUUAAAAAGUUUAACAUUUUAUACACGUUAUCUUCUUAUAUUAAUUUGGUUGAUUUAGAUAUUACUAAUCAAUAUCGCAUAAAUUCUAACUUUGUUUUUAGAUAUUUCACUUAAAACGUAAGAAUUUAAAAUUCUUUAUUUUUAAAUGUAUAUUUCGGUUUUUAUAGUUUAGAUCGACCUAAGUCUGGAUAUUAUUCUGUUCAACCAAACUCAAUUUGAUUUGAUAUGGCCCUAAUAUAAUAUUAUCUUACUUAAAUUUGACUGGGUUUAUAAUUUCAUAAGUUGAAAAUAAUCCCAUUUAAUGUAAAUUAAGAAAAAACAUUGCAAAUAUAAAAUGUAAAUUUUUUUUAAGAACUUUAACAAAAACAAUAACAUUAAUCAAAGAUUGACUAUAAAAAAAUAACAAAUANUAAUGUUUUUUUAAUUUUAACAAUUAUUUAAUAUUUAAAUAGUUUUUUUUUUCAAUUUGAUAGUAAUCGAAACAUUUUAUCCUAAUAAGAAAAAUGAAAAAUUAUUAAUUUUGAAUGACCUUAUUCAAAUAAUACACUUGAAAAAUAAAAUAAUUUAAAGUAAGAUCAUUCAAACUACCUCUACUUGAAAGAGUUAAAAGUUUUGAAAUUAUUUAUAGAAACAGGAAUUAGUUGUUUGUUUGUGACUUUGAUGAUAGGAAGCAGACUGGUAUGUAAAAAGUUAAACUGUAACAAGAGAUAUGGUCAAAUCCAUGGCCGACUAUGAGAAAUGAAAAAAAGAAACACUUGAUCUAUGAUGAGAUCAACACAAUUUUAAUAAAUGAAAAGAGAUUCUGAGAUUAUCUUAAAAGUGAAUGUAAGAAAUAUAAUGACCUGGUGACGUUUGAAUCCCAGCCGGAGAGUCCAGCAGCUUCCGUUAGAGCAUCCUUCCAUCCUUGGACUUUGUUCAUGUUUUCCCUAAACCGUAGUUCAUGCUCUUCAAAUGCUUCUUUGUAUCUCUUUUCCUGUUUUCUGACAGUUGAUGGAUCAACCUUGUAGAAAACGGGUAUCACAUCCCUUCCAUAUUUCUUCUUGCAAUCCAGUAUUUUAGUCAGUUCAUUCAAGCACCACGUCGAAGAUGCAUAGUUUUCAGAGAAAACCAGGACAUAUAUCUUUGAUUCUUCUAUUGCAGUUUGCAGUGCAGGUGAAAUUUCUUCUCCCCUGAGUAGCCUGUAAUCAAUAUAUCCUUCAACGUGCUUCCUUUGCAAUGCUGCGUAAAGGUGACUAAUGAAGUUGUCACGCGUGUCAUCUCCUCUGAAAUUCAGAAACACAUCGUACCUAGUAAGAGAAGUACACAUGGCGAAUGAUGAAGAACUUCCUGACAUUAAAAUCAAUUCUCUCCUUUCUCUGCAACUCUCAAGCUCUUGGAUUCUAAAAAUUUUUAUACUAUCAAUUUAGAAACCAAAGUAUAUAUUUAUACCAUUUCCAUCCAAAGUCAACUCUGCUGCUACGACACAUGAUGAAAAGCAAGCCACAAAUAUGAAAUAAUCUUUUUCCAAAAAAUAAAGCAUUAGUUGUCGAGUACAGCAACUAAGUCGGCAAAAUAAGACUUCUUUUUAUAAAUGGGUAAUUUUUUAAAACUUUUAAGCAAAAUAUACCUUUUCCUUGUAAAAGAUAAGUAAAAUUUAAAAAAUUCUCUAGCAGCUAAGGGCAUUAAUUAUCAAAAACUUAUUUUUCAUUUUUAUAUAAUUUAUUUGUAUUACCAAUACAUGUAAUUGAGAUUGAGGUUUUAAUUUACAAUUUUUUUUAAAAGAAUUAUGGAUUUCAUAUAUCUUUAUUAUUAAAUACUUUUUAUAGCGUUCAAAAAAAUGAGGUAGUUCCUUGUAAAGCGGCUCACCAAUUAUACAUUGGUCUGCACUGAUUCAAUUAUUAAACAAAAGCAAAAAGCUUUUUUCUUUUGUUUCUUCGUAUAAUCGUGCAGCAAAGCUUUUUUUUUUUCUGUUGUUUCUUCGUAGAACCGUAAAGCCAAAGCCUUUUUCUUUUGUUUCUUCGUAUAACCGUGAAACCAAAGCUUUUUUUUUUUCUUUCCUUUAUAUAAGUCAAACCAGAAGACAGGACUGAUUUGUUAUAAUUAACUAAAGAAUUAAUUUUUUUAUAUGACUAAUGUGAAAUAUUAUAAAAUGUUAUUUUAUUAUUAUUAUUAUUAUUAUUAUUAUUAUAAUUAUGAUUUUGAUGAUGAGAAGUCAUAAUAAAAUAAAAUAAAAAAAUUUCUUAAUCCAUGUUUUUUUUAAUAAAAGGGAUAAAGGAUUUGUUUCUGGUUUGACCAUAAAGUUCUUAAAAAAAAUGAGAGGAGAAAGAAAUAUAAAAAGAUAAUUAGAAAAACGAAGUUAAAAAAUAAGAGAAAUUGAAAAAUAUAUUUUCAUUGGAUUUUUCAUAAAUCAAUAUAAAAUACACUGUUAUGAUUUAUUCAUGUUAAUAGGUGAGAAACAUGAAUCUUAAUUUUAUAAAGUAAUUUUGAAAAAUAAACUAAUAACUUAAGAAAACUACAACUUAGCCUACAUAUAAUAUCAAAGAUUUAUGAUUGUCUCUUGUUAUGAUUUUAAUUUUCAAAUUAAGAUAAACUCUAUUAUAAAUUUAGGAAUUGCUCUAUAAAAUUAACAUGAACCUUAAUUUAUGUUUUUCUUUAAAUUGAUUUAUACACCUAAUUAUUAAAUUUAGAGAUUUUAUGUAUCCGCUGCAAUUUGGCUUGUGACAUGAAUAAUGGAUUAAAAUAAUUAAAAAAAUGAGACUACCUUACCUUACCUGAAUUGGAUGCAGAAAUCGAAAGGGUACAAUUGCAGAUUGAUCCAUCCUAAAGCUCCUGUUACCGGUUUUAACUAACUAAAUAUUUUAAUUGCAAAUUACAUUAUUGUUAUUUUGAUAAUUAUAAUUGAUGUAUAUUUAAAAUAUCAUUAUUAUUAUAAUAUGAUUAGCAUAAUUAUGUUUUAUUGUAUUAUAAUGGAUCUUUCAAAGAAAACAUUAAUAUGCAUAGAAUAGUCAUUUGUUUAUGAAUAUAUAUUUAUGUUUAAUUUUAUGACUCAAAACAUUAAUACUAAUCAUGUACUAAUUACAGUUUAUUCCGGUAUAUUUAUAUACAUUCGUUACGUCUAUUUUAGUCUUUAAUAUUCUGAUAUUUUUAUAUUCGUUGGUUAUGUGUAUUUUAAUCUUUGAUAUUCUGGUAUCUUUAUAUUAGUUUGUUACGUAUAUUUUAGUCUGUCUAUUGUAGUCUUUAAUAGGUUGAAUAGCAAGAAUGGAGAAUCGAGUCUUCUUUCUCUACAUUUUAGGAAUAAUCGAUUUUCAUAUUCUCGUAUUUUUGUUAGCUGCAGAGUGAUAUCGUCAGUGAUUUUGUGUGCUUGUAGUGGUUAGUUGUGUGAGGUUGAUGCUUGAUCUUGCUGGCGGUGCAGGUGCCCCAUUGAUGGCUGUGAUUUGAAGGUUAAAAAGGAACAACUUUUUAAAAAAAAUAAAAACAUAGUUAACUCUUACAAAAAUUUUGGAACAGCUAAGGGUAUUAAUUGUUAAUAAUUUAUUUUCCACUUUUUUAUAAUUUAUUUUUACAAUAAAGAUAUGUAAUUGAGAUUGAGUUUUUAAUUUACACUUUAUUUUUGUAAAGAAUAAUGGAUUUCAUAUAAUUUUAUUAUUAGAUAUUUUGUAUAGCUUUGAAAAAAAUCGUAUAUAUUAUAUAAAUUCAAAUAAAUUGUCUUCAACUUUAUUGUCAAACUACAGAUAUAAAGAAUUAACCAUCACCCACUCAAAUGAAACAAGAAUAAACGAAGAUCAACAACAAAUAACUUGUUAUCAUCUUCACUCUUCCACGUUAACCAAGCAAACGAUUAUAUGGUUUUACAGCCCCAUGCACAAACCAAAUACAAUCAUAUCAUAUUCAAUUUCCAUAAACAGUAGCUGUCGUAAAAUUGGAAUUUUUUAAGUUUGGAGUGUCAAAGAAACAUUUUCCAUAAUGAAAUGCAGCUUUCAUAAUGCCUUCGCUGCAAAUGAAAGCCAAAUAUGCUAAAGAAGUUAACGAAGCCGAUAAGUGAACAGUUUCAAGAAAAUGCAACUUUGGGACAACGGAUCAACUCAACGUCGACAUCAAACUAUAUCUUAGAAAUCUUGUCAACUACUGAAGGAACCCACCUGCAAAAUGCCAUUGAAAAUGUAAAUAAAAUAAAAAUUAAAAAUGAGAAAUUCAUAAUAAAAGUUGAACGUUUUGAAACUUGUAAUUAAAAAGUAUCGGUGAUAAGCCACACUCACCAACUGAAGACCAAUUAGCAGAAAAGCAAGAGACUAGCCCACUAUAAGUAGCUUUCUGCCUUCCUCUUGCUGUCUUCCUUUGUUUCCAUUGAAGACUCUCCAACAUUGCUUCCGCUUCUAUAAAGAGGGCAUAAGCCGCAUUCUUUUAUUGUCACAACUGAUCGGAACUCUCUCACCAUUUCUCCGUAAUAUCGAAUGAUCUCAAAAGUGAAUCUGCAAGCAUCACAGAGCCUAAGGUUCAUGCAGCUCCUCCUUAGACUCUCCAAGUUAAAUUUCCACAUGAAUGUGUGAUCUUGAUUGACAAAUCUGUUUUUACCAUUCCAUUUGAAAUAGUUCUGAAACAGAUCAUUAUUUGGAAUAAUCUGUGUGCCAUAAUCAUCACAUUCAAAUUUUAGGCGGUAUCUAAAAGAACCACGUCUACCAUUAAUAUCAUUGCUAUCAAACAAUCCAAAAGCCACACACAAAGCGAAACCAAUGAGUCUGUCAUCACUGCAGAAACUUAAAUCUUCAUUUAUAGUCACAGAGCAUCCCUUCCCACGAAAGGGGAACCAAUGAGGAAUUGCAGUCCCUGGAUAACAGAAGAACACAGACCUAUAUGCAUAGUCGGUCAUCCUGAGCCUUGCAUCCUCCUCAAUGUUAGCACGAGCACCUGAAUCCAGUUGUUGGGCAUUGGUGAAAUGAAAUUUGAAGACACCCUCCUUCGACCCUGAGAGGUUUCGAUUUGACAUCACUUGUCUAAUGGAUGGGCAAUCCAAUGCCACCAGUUGUUUUAGACAUGAUGGAAUCUGUGGGAUGCACUCAAGCCUUUUGCAAUCGCUCAAAUCAAGCGAUUUCAAGCUCGAAAGAUGAGCAAUGCUCUCAGGAAGGUUCACGAUUCCGCUAUCAUUCAGUAACAGUUCCAUUAAUGACGUCAACCGACCUAUGUGUCUUGGGAUUUCUGUUAAUUUGUGACACCCCGAACAAUCAAGUUUACAGAGAUGCUUUAGAUUAACAAUGGAGUUUGGAAGUGACUCGAGAUUCCUGCAUUUGUUGAGCUGCAGGGAUCGAAGACUAACCAAAUUGUCAAAUGAGGAAGGCAGUUCUUUGAUAGCAGUUUCUGAUAAGUCAAUGUAAGAAAAAGUUUGUGCCUGCUCGGUGAUCUUUGGGAAUGUCCUCAACCUUAAGCAACGAUACAAAUCAAGUUUCCUCAACUUCAAUUUGAAAAUGGUGUUUGGAAAAGUUUGAAGUGAAUGACAGUUGGUAAGGUGUAACUUGCAUAGUCUGGUGAGCCUUCCAAUGGAAGAUGGAAUAAUCUCAAGAUUCCUGCAACCGUACAAAUUCAGUUCUUGAAGCCCUACCAAACGCCCCAAGGAUGAAGGGAGUGCCUUUAUGCUUGUGUUGUUUAAGCUUAGAAUCGCUAAAUUUUCCAUCGUGUCCUCAAUCUCGGGGAAAUUUUCCAAUUUUGAGCAACCACUGAGAAAAAGUUUCUUUAGGAAUUUCAUCUCAGAAAGGACAAAUGGAAAUGUUGUGAGGGAAGAACAGUGCGAGAGAUCUAUUAAACAGAGCUUCUUGAGACUUAAGUUUAACGACACACCUCCAGUGAGUUGUAUCGGCAUUUCAUCAUUAGUUACUUCUUUUUCUUCAUCUGUUCCCCAAUAUCGGUCAAAAGUAAUGGAGAAAAUUUCAUUGGAAUAGAAUCUCGAGGGAAGGCUAGCAAAAGACUGGAGCUCGUUAAAGGAAUUUCGACGUUGACGCCGCAGUUUGACAUGAGGACCGAUUAAUGAUGAUGAUGGUGGAGAAUAAUAUAUUUGGGUUUGAGUGGUUGAAAACAUUUCAAGCUCCCCACACCGGGAAAGAAGAAUCAAUCCUGGUGAUUUGGUUAGAAUAUUGCUGGGAAUUAUUACACUUUUGAGAUUAUGACACUCAUCUAAACUUAAAUAACUGAGCUUGGUGAGUAAUAUGGAAGAGUGAACUUUAAUCAACUUUCGACAAUAAUUGAGAAUUAUUUCUUCAAUAUUUGGUGACAUGGAAAGAUCUUGUAUUCUAGUAAGUUUCGAAGACCAACUCAGGUCGAGCCUUUUCAACUUGGGUAAACUCUGCCACAAAAUGAAAAUGAAUAAGGUAAUAAAGAAAACCUAAAAUGAAGCUUAUCUAUUUUUCUUCAAUAAACUCCUACUUACAUUAUCUGUUGAGUUUACGUUGAACAAACAAAAUUAUAGUGGCUAUAAAUUUGAUACUUGUUAUAAAAAUUCACAAAAUUUAACAUGUUUUCUUUCCUAUCUAAAUUUACAUCCUAAUAAUUCCAACUUGAUGAAAGUAAUUUAUAAUAGAUGACAAUGUGGAAAUACUUUAUAUUAUGCAUGUAUCAAAUAUUUACCUUUGUUUAUCUUCUCUCAUCUUUCUUCUUCUUUCUAAUAAAAAUAUAUUGUAAAAAUUUAAAUAAGAAUAAGAAUAAACUGAAAAAGUGAGUUAAAAUUGAACAUUAGGUAAGUUGAAUGUUAAUGUUAAGUGAUGCAGACAAUGUAUAAAUCCAUCUUUCCGUGAUUUAUUAAAUACAUAAUUUAUUAUAGGUUAUAUUAAAGUUAUAUGAUAAUAAAAAGUUAGAUUAAUUAAGUUUAAGUCUUUAAUAAAUUUAAAUUUAUUUAAUUAAGUUAGUUUCAAUUUCUUUUAUAUUUUGUAAAUAAGAUAUUAAAUUUAUAUAUUUCACUUGUUUAAUUUUUCAAUUAAUCAUAUGAUAUGAAUGUUAUUUUGCUUAUUUCUCAACAUAUUAAUAAAUAAAAUUAAUAAAAGCUUCACUAAAAUAUUUAAAUUUAUAAUACCACGUAAAAACUUCAAGGAUAAUUGGCAUAAAUGAACAAUAAAUAAACUCAUAUUAGAUAUUAAAACAUAUUUUUUAAUCUAAAAUUUUAACAUAAUCGGUUUGUAGUUCUUAUAUUAUUUCCGUCUUAUUCAUUUUUACACAAUAUAGGAUUUUCAACUUAUCUUAAAUUUCUAAUCAGAGAAAUAAUGUGUUUUAUGUUUCAGGAACUUAUUAAAUAUUACAACAAGUAGCAUUGUUAAACUGUUAGAGAGAGAAAAGAUCGAAGUCUCUCUCCUUUAGAUAUAUUUAUUCAAGUCACAAAAGGUUUAUUAAGAAGGAUUGUCACUCAAGUUAUUUUGAACAUUGAAGUAAAAAAAUCUUCCUUUUUGGAUUAGGAAACGAGGUCGUUCUAUGAGGCUGAUGAUGAGUAUAAGAUGCAUGAAUAUGUAUACACAAGUGUAUGAUAUACAUGAUGUUAUAUAUUGUAUGUGAUUCCAUUGAUGACAAUUAUGAGUGACCUUACAUGCAUUUUGCCCUUUUAUGAGUGUGUUUUGGCCUUUUAUAUAUGGAUAUGUUUUGACCCUUUUAUGAGCAUGUGGUGACGGAUAUCUAAGGUUGUAUUAUGACGGAAAUAUUAAAUACAAAACUUAUUAUAGAAAAAAGAUGUUUUAGGAAUCAAUGGUGAUAUAACCACAAAAAUUAAAGUAUGAAAUGGUGAGAGGUUGAAGAAGGUAUGACUAUGAAGUUAUCAUAAGUGGAAAAAACUAUUUUGACCUAAAAAAUUGAGAACGAAUUUUCCAAAAUAUAUACUAAUGAUAGGUUAUGUACAUUUAUAUUUAAAUAAUUUUGAGAAUAAAGUUAGAACAAGAUAAUUCUUUUUAGUAAUAUAUCUAGUAGUUAUAAGCAAGAAUGAUUGUAUUAAACAGGGGUGCUUCAAAUAAUACAGAAGAAAAAGAUAACAUUUCAAUAUCUUUUAUACAUUAGAAUAAAUUAUCUACACACAAAUAUCUCUUAUAAAGUAAAAAAAAAACAAGCACUCUAUUCAGAUACCUCACACAUAAUAUGGAUAGACAAUACAAUCAUGGACCAUAAAAUGAAAUGCAUCUUCUACAUAUUUGAUUUUUAAUUAUCUUUAGAAGCAUGCUAAAUAUGAUUGUAAUGAUAUAUGCACAAUUGAGUAGAUCUAAGAAAAGAAGAUUUAAAACAAAUAAUAUGGAGUAGGCACAAAGGAAUUACUAAUGAAAACAUAUUUAGAUGUAUAGUACAUAAAAAUACUCGUAAUUAAGUUUAGAUCAUAAAGGAAUAUAGAUAACUUGAAAAACCUGAUCUUCUUCCCAAAGUUGUUCAAGAUGACAGUGUGGCAUUUCGAGUCUCACUAGAUUUUCUGGGCAAAAGUUCGGUGGUAAAGAUCUUUGAGGGAAACCUUUCCAAUAAAGAAUCUUUAAAGUGUCUGGUAGAGUUACAAGAGACGAUGCAAGAAACACUCUGGAUUCGCUUUGAGGCUCAUAAGAUAAAUAAUCAGAGAGCAUAAGCAUCCUAAGAUUAUCCAUCUUUUGGAAAGCUUGUCCAUCUACUAUAACAUCUUUUUUUAUUUCCCAAGUACCUAAUAAGAUACACUGAAUUGCAUCUGACCCCUAAAAGUAAAUCAAUGUAAUUAGAAAAUAAAUAAACAUGAAAUAUUCCAUAUGGUUAAUAAUAACUCAGUGGUUUGCACUUUAAGAAAAGUAAAUCCAUGUGACUCUUUCAAUUGAGUGAUAAUAGAACAUACCUUGUUCUUUUUUAAAACCUCAUGAAUUUCCUCAUCCUUGAACAAUCGACUGCGUUUUCCAGGAUAUUCAGGACACUCUUUACGAACAAUUUCUUGACCCAUUUCUUGUAAUAGAUCGUGCAUCACAAUUCUACCAUCAAAGAUAGAUAUUAGACAUCUGUCUUUGAGAACAUCCAUUCCAAUCUUAGAAGAAAAACCACAUUCAUCUAGUCUUUCUACUACCUCACUUUCCUCGUCUCCCCUGUAAAAGCAAGCGAUGUCAAGAAAUAUAUUCUUCUCCUCCUCGUCAAGUCCAUCAUAACUUAAUUUCAAUACAUUAAAAAUUUCAAGAUGUUGGCAUUUUUCCAACUUUUGUAAUUGACUUUCCCAUGCUUCUCUUGUUCUACCAUAAAGUAAUGAACCCAAAGUUUGGAGAACUAAUGGAAUUCCUUUUGCAUAUCUCAACACCUUUUCUGUCAAGUCCUUGUACGUUAUUUCUUGUGAAGAGUUUUGUUUAAAAGCAUGUAAACUAAAAAGUUUUAGAGAAUCAAGAUCAUUCAACUCCUUAACAUCGUAGAUGUCAUCAGCUCCAACAUUCUUUAACACUUGUCUGUCUCUACUGGUUAUAAUGAUUCUACUGCCUUGUCCAAAACUAUCAUGCCUUCCUAGCAAUUGUUUAAGUUGAACUGAAUCGGUAACAUCAUCAAGAAUGAUAAGAAUCCUCAUUCGUUUGAGUCUUUCACUGUACUCAGACAUAUAUUUUUUUCUGACAAUGUCUAUUCCAUCUCGUUCUAUUUUUCUUUUAGUGUCUAAAACAAGACUUCUGGAAUCAAAUUGCAUUCCCAAUGUGUGAUAUAUUUGUUCAGAAAUUGUAGUUUUUCCUAUUCCUCCCAUGUCACAAAUUCCUAUGAUCCGAAUAUCUGAUGACUCAAAAUGCAUCAAGAACCGAAUUCUUUCAAUAUGUUUUUCAAUGCCGAUAAUUCCUUGAUCAUAACUACUGGAAUAAAGAUCCAAUUUUUUCACAAUAUCUUUCACAAUUUCUUCAACAAGUAUGUUUUCUGACCUGAAAGAUAAUUUGAAAAAAAAAAAGUUUUAGUAUUCAAGCACAAAGCUAAACUAAACUAAAGAAAAAUUCAGAAGAGUGAACAUAAUUGAAGAGAUGUUCAACGUAAGUAUAAGACAUUAUCUUCAGUUUGGUUGGUUUAAGAAUUGAAAAUCAAGAUUGCAAAAGUUCUACAGUAACUGUUUGUGACUUUUGAUACUGGAGAACAGACUUGUAGAAAGUUAAACUAUUUAACAAAGUGAUAUGAUGAAAUCCAUGACCCAUUAAGAGAAGGGGAAAAAAGAAACACUUAAACUAUGAUGAGAUCGACAGAUUUUAGUAAAUGAAAAGAGAUACUGAAUAUCUGAAAAGUGGAUGUAAGAAAUAUAAUGACCAGAUAACGUUUGAAUCCCAGCCGGAGAGUCCAGCAGCUUCAGUUAGAGCAUCCUUCCAUCCUUGCACUUUGUCCAUGUCGUCUUUAAACCGCUGUUCGUACUCUUCGAAUGCUGCUUUGUAUCUUUCUUCCUGCUUCCUGACAGUUGAUGGAUCUACUUUGUAAAAAACCGGUAUCACGUCCCUUUCAUAUAUCUUCUUGCAGUUCAGUAUCUUAGUCAGUUCAUUCAAGCACCAGGUCGAAGAUGCAUAGUUUUCGGAGAAAACGAGGACAUAGAUCUUUGAUUCUUCUAUAGCAGUUUGGAGUGCAGGCGAAAUUUCUUCGCCCCUUUGUAGUCUGUCAUCUCUAUAUGCUUUGAUCCGGUUCCUGUGUAGCGCAUCAUAAAGGUGACUGAUGAAGUUGUAACGCGUGUCUUCCCCUCUGAAGCUCAGAAACACAUCAUACUUAGUGGGAGAAGUGGGCACAGCUAAUGACGAAGAACUCUCUGCCAUUGGAUUCAAUUUUCUCUCCUUUCUCUCACUGCAGCGGAAGAAGAGUGAGUUUGUGAACAGAAAAAUUAUCUAGCUGUUAGUUUUUGGAAAAGUUGAACGCUACAAGACGAGAUUAGCACUGGAUUUUCUUCUGCUAAAUUCAUUGCAUAAGGACAAGCAAAUAAACCUUUUGAAAAAAAAGUAGUCAAAAGAUAAUAAAGCAUGAGUCAAAAGAUAAUAAAGAUAAUUAUUGAGGCAAAAGAGAAAUAUUAAGUCAAUUGAAGACUCAAUAAUUUACAUAAUAAUUAUGGAAUCUAAAUUUAUAUCUUUGAUAGUUAAUAAUUGUUAAAAUAAAAGUAUUAUAAAAAAUAUAUACAAGCAGUGGAAAAGAUAAUAUAAAACGCAUUUAUAAAAGUAAAUAUUUUAAUUAACUUUUAUACUAUUAUAAUAAUAAAACAUUUAAAUAUAGUUACUACCUUUUGUGAACAGGAUUUUCAUCAAUCAUCUGACAAAUUCUUGGAUCUCAUAAAUUUUGUUUUAUAUAAUAUUGAUCCAAUAGCGUUGUUUAUUUUGCCAUGAAUAAAUUUCAAAUGGAUUGUUGAAUUUCUCUUAUGAAUAAAUUUAGAUUAUUGUUAAUCUUUAAAUUUGAUUUAGUUUAUACAUGUUUUUCCUUUCGUCACCUAACUAUAAUUACUUUCUAACCUUUCAAGCAUGCCUAAUUACUUAGUGUUUCAUUAUUCAAAUGAGAAUGAAUUGUUUAUUAAUAUACAAAUUAUUUUCAUUUACAAUUCUUUAAUUAGUGGCUAUUUCCCACCUUUAGUAUCACCACAAUUCCGAUAAAUUAAAAUCUUCUCUUCCUUUCUUUUUUCCUAUAAAACUGUUUUGUCUUUUAUUUUUGCAAAUUUUUGUACUCUUACAACAUACCGAACAACAAAUUAGGCAUUUAAGCUGUCAUUAUACAUAACAUUAAAAUGUUUUCAUAACCAUAACUAGACAAAAAAAAUAUCAUUCUUAUAAAAUUUCUAAAAUAAUAAAUACUUGUGUGAAUUUAUCAUAAUAUCAUAUUCAAUUUCUUUUAUUUGGUACGAAAUGAAGUUUUUGCUUACAUUAUUUGAUAAAGGAUAAAAAUGAAAAGUGUCGAAUAGUAUACUAUCCUUAUUUAAGUAUAAUUUUAAAUCAAAUUGUUUAUUAAAAUAUUAAUAUAAUGUAAAUUUGAAUGAAUUGUAUCAAAAUAAAAAUUAAAAAAAUAUAUUCUUAAAAAUAACUUCAAUUUUAUAAACUUAAAUGAAAAAUAAAAAUAUAUAAAAUAAAUUUGUAAACAAUUCUUUAAUAAUUAUAAUUUUUGUAUUACUAAUUUUAUUUUGAUCACUUUAUUUUUUAAAAAAAAAUAUACUAAAAUAGAACACCCUAAUAAUUAUUUUGUAAAAAUAAAUAUAUAAAAAAAAUUAUGAGUACAUAGCAUAUAUCUAUGGGUUGAAUAACACAAUAUUCAUAUCCGUCCCAUUAACAAAGAGAUAAUUUAGUAUCCUAAAUUUUUUUAUCCAUUUAGUAUAAUUUUUUUUAAAAAUUACUACUCUACACCUCAGUUUUGUUUAAAACCGUGGCCUUCUAUUUUUUUAUCUUACACGUUAAUUACAUUGAAUUAUGGAAAGCUAAUAAGCAUCAUAAAUUAAGAAAUAUGAAAUAAGAAGUGGAAAGCAAACUCAUCUAAUAAGAAGCACAGAAAAAAAAAAAAAACUUGAUUUUGAAAAUUAAACCGUAAUUAGCACAGAGAUUCAAAAAUUACAGUUAGUAAUCAAAAGAAAACACUUUAAAUCUGCGUUCUAAUAAGAUAAGAAUCAAACCAUUUGAAAUUCGAUACAAAGAAUUAUGAACAAAACAACUAUAGCAAAUGUAUUCUAAAAAUUUAAAUGUCAAAGACAUGGCUCUUUACACAGAAUAGACUGACAAAGUAAAGCGGUUGUUUUCUGAGAGUAAAAGUUGAACAUAGUUAUAUUGUAUGUUAAUCGUUAAGUGACGCAUACAAUGCAUAAGUCAAUCUUAUUAGAGAGAAUGCAACUGAGAAAUCCAUACGAUAAUAAUUACGAAUUACCCUUUCAAAUGUCUCUCUUCAAGAUUUCAUAAUGCCUUCGCUGCAAAUGAAAGCUAAAUAUGCUAAAGAAGUUAACGAAGCCCAUACAUAAAGAGUUUCAACAAAAUGUAACUUUGGGACAACGGAGCAACCCAACUUACGUCUACAUCAAACCCUAUCUAACAAUAACUUACAAAAUCUUGUCUGAAGGAACUCACCUGUAAAAUGCCAUUGAAAAUGUAAAUAAAAGAAAAUAAAUUAAAAAUGAGAAAUUCAUAAUAAAAGUUGAACUUUUUGAAACUUGUAAUUAACAAGGUGAUAAGCCACACUCACCAAGAGAAGACCAAUUAGCAAAAGAGCAAGAGACUAGCCCACUAAGUCGCUUUCGGCCUUCCUCUUCCUAUCCUCCUUUGUUUCCCUUGAAGACUCUGCAACAUUGCUUCGGCUGCUAUAAAGAGGGCACAUUCCGCAUUCUUUUAUUGUCACAACUGAUUUUAACUCAUUCACAACUGAGUCGUAAUCUGGCCACUGAAAGUUAUAAUCAUAUGGACUGAUCUCAAAAGUGAAGCUGCGAGCAUCACUGAGCCUAAGGUUCAUGCCGCUCCUCCUUAUACUCUCCAAGUUAAAUUUCCACAUAAAUAUGUGAUCUUUAUCAAGGAGUCCGGGACUAUAACCCCAUGUGAAAUAGUUGUUUAACACAUCAUUAUUUGGAAUUAUCUGUGUGCCAUCAUCAUCACAUUCAAAUUUUAGGUUGUAGCCAAAAGAACCGUAUCUGCUUUUAAUAUCAUUCGUAUCUAACAAUCCAAAAACCACACACAAAGUGAAACCAAUGAGCCUGUCAUCGCUGCAGAAACUUAAAUCUUCAUUUAUACUCACUGAAGGUCCUUUAUUGCGAAAAGGGAACCAAUGAGGAACUGCACUCCCUGGAAAACAGAAGACCACACACUUAUAUGUAUCAUCGGUCAUCCUGAGCCUUGCAUCUUCCUCAAUGUUAGCACGAGCACCUGAAUCCAGUUGUUGGGCAUUGGUGAAAUAAAAUUUGAAGACACCCUCCUUUGACUCUGAGAGGUUUCGAUUUGACAUCACUUGUCUAAUGGAUAGGCUAUCUAAUGCCACCAGUUGGUUUAGAGACGGUGGAAUCUGUGGGAUGCAUUCAAGAUUUUUGCAGCCACUUAAAUCAAGUGAUUUCAAGCUUAAAAGAUGAGCAAUGCUUUCAGGAAGGUUCACGAUUCCGCUCUCACUCAGUGACAGUUCCAUUAAUGACGACAGGCUACCAAUGUGUGUUGGGAUUUCUGUUAAUUUGGCACACCCCGAACAAUCAAGUUUACAGAGAUGUUUUAGAUUAACAAUGGAGUUUGGGAGUGAUUCAAGAUCCAUGCAUUUGUUGAGCUGCAGGGAUCGAAGAUUAACUAAAUUGCCAAAUGAGGAAGGCAGAUCUUUGAUAGCCGUUUCUGUUAAGUUUAUGUGAGCAAAAGUUUGUGUCUGCUCCGUGAUCUCUGGGAAGGUCCUCAACCUUAAGCAACCACACAAAUCAAGUUUCCUCAACUUCAAUUUGAAAAUGGUGCUUGGAAAAGUUUGAAGUGAUUCACAGUAGGAAAGGUCUAACGUGCAUAGUCUGGUGAGCCUUCCAAUGGAAGAUGGAAUACUCUCAAGAUUCCAGCAACUGCGCAAACUCAGUUCUUGAAGCCCUACUGCUAAAUUUUCCAUUGUGCCCUCGGGGAAAUUUUGCAAUUUUAAGCAACCACAGAGAUAAAGUUUCUUUAGGAAUUUCAUCUCAGAAAGGUCAAAUGGAAAUAUUGUAAGGGAAAAACAGUUCGAGAGAUUUAUGAAACAGAGAUUCUUGAGAAAGUUUAAGGGUAGACCUCCAGUGAGUCGCAUUUCAUCAUAUGCGUAUUUAUUAUUAUUAGUCAAUUGUUUUUCUUCAUCUGCUUCCCAAGAUCGGUCAAAAGUAAUGGAGAAAAUUGGACUGUAACAGGAUCUUCUGAGAUUUUUACGUCUAGCCAAGUUCGCCUUUAUGGAAUGAUGCAAUUGACUCGCCAGUUUCGCAUGAGGGAACAUUGAACAGAUUGAUGAUGACGAUGGUGGAGAAUAACAUAUUUGGGUUUGACCGAUUGAAAACAUUACAAGCUUGGGACACCAGGAAAGAUUAAUGUAUCCUGGUGAUCUGGAUAGAAUAUUGCAGGGAACAGUUACACUAUUGAGAUUAUGACAUCUAUCUAAACUUAAACAAGUGAGCUUGGUGAGUAAUAUGGAAGAGUGAACUUUAAUCAACUUUGGACAAUCAUUCAGAAUUAUUUCUUCAAUAUUUGGGGACAGGGAAAGGUCUUGUAUUCUAGUAAGUUUCUGAGAAUAACUCAGGUUGAGCCUUUUCAACUUGGGUAAACUCUGCCACAAUAAGUAAAUGAAUCAGAUAAUAAAGAAAAACUAAAAUGAAGUUUAUCUAUUUUUCUUGAAGUUAAUGGGAUCAUUAAGUAAAGAAAUAUUCCUUUUGAAUUAGGAAACAAUGUCAUUCUAUGAGGUUAACGAUGAUGACUAUAAGAUGCAUAAAUAUGUAUACACAAGUGUAUGCUAUACAUGAUGUUAUAUAUUGUAUAUGAUGAUCCCAUUGAUGACCAUCAUUGAGUGUGACCUUAUGUGCACUUUUCCCUUUUAUGGGUGCGUGUUGGCCUUUUGUGGGUAUAUAUUAAAUACAACACUCAUUAUAGAAAAAAAAAAUGUUUUAUGCAUCAAUGGUGAUAUAAUCAAAAAAAUUAAAGUAAAAAAAAAAAUGUAUUCUAUCCAGAUACCUCACAUAUAAUAUAGGUAGACAAUGCAACGAUGGACCAUAAAAUGAAAUGCAUGUUCUACAUAUUUGAUUUAUAAUUAUCUUUAGAAGCAUGUAAAUAUGAUUGUAAUGAUAUAUGCAUAAUUGAGUGGGUCUAAUAAAAGAAGUAUCAAAACAAAUAAUGUGGAGUAAAGGAAUUGUUAAUGAAAACAUGUAGAUAUAUAGUACAGAAAAAAUACUUGUAAGUUUAGAACAUAAAGGAAUAUAGAUAACUUGAAAAACCUGAUCUUCUUCCCAAAGUUGUUCAAGAUGGCAGUUUGGCAUUUCGAGUCUCACUAGAUUUUCUGGACAAAAGUUCGGUGGUAAAGAUCUUUGAGGAAAAUCUUUCCAAAAAAGAAUCUUUAAAGUGUCUGGCAGACUUACAAGAGAUGAUGCAAGAACCACUUUGGAUUUGUGUAGAUCUUCAUAAUCAUUGACUAUAAGCAUCCUAAGAUUAUCCAUCUUUUCGAAAGCUUGUCCAUGUAUUAUAACUUCUUUUAUUUCCCUCAAAUGUAGUAAGAUACACUGAAUUGCAUCUAACCCCUAAAAGUGAAUCAAUAUAAUUGGAAAAUAAAUAAAGGUGAAAUAUUCCAUAAUGUUUAGUAACAACUAAGUGGUUUGCAAUUUAUAAAAAUUAAAUCCAUGUAACUCUUUCAAUUGAGUGACAAUAGAACAUACCUUGUUCUUUUUUAAAACCUCAUGAAUUUCGUUAACCUUAAACAACCGACUGCGUUUUUCAUGAUAUUGAGGACACUCUUGACGAACAAUUUCUUUACCCAUUUCUUGUAUUAGAUCGUGCAUUUCAAUUCUACCAUUAGAGAUAGAUAUUAGACAUCUGUCUUUGAGAACAUCCAUUCCAAUCGUAGAAGAAAAAUCACAGUCAUCUAGUCUUUCUACUACCUCACUCUCGUGGUGUCCCCUAUAAAAGCAAGUUAUGUCAAGAAAUAUAUUCUUCUCCUCGUCAUCAAGCCCAUCAUAACUUAAUUUUAAUAUACUAAAAAUUUUAAGAUGUUGGCAUUUUUUCAACUUUUGUAACUCACUUUCCCAUGCUUCUCUUGUUCUGCCAUAAAGUAAUGAGCCCAAAAUUUGGAGAGCUAAUGGAAUUCCUUUGGCAUAUCUCAACACCUCUUCUACCAAGUCCAUGUACGUUGUUUCCUGUGAAGAGUUUUGUUUAAAAGCAUGUAAAGUAAAAAGUUUUAGGGAAUUGAGUUCAUUCAACUUCUCAACUUCGUAGAUGUCAUCAGCUCCAACAUUCUUUAACACUUGUUUGUCUCUGCUGGUUAUAAUGAUUCUACUGCCUUGUCCGAAACUAUCACACCUUCCUAACAAUUGUUUAGGUUGAACUGAAUCGGUAACAUCAUCAAGAAUUAUGAGAAUCUUCUUUCGUUUGAGUCUUUCACUGUACUCGGACAUGUAUUUUUCUCUGACAGUGUCUAUUCCAUCUCUUUCUAUUUUUUGUUGAGUGUCUAAAACAAGACUUCUGGAAUCAAAUUGCUUUGCAAAUGUGUGAUAUAUUUGUUCAGAAAUUGUAGUUUUUCCUAUUCCUCCCAUGCCACAAAUUCCUAUGAUCCGAAUAUCUGUUGACUCAAAAUGCAUCAAGAAUCGAAUUCUUUCAAUAUGUUUAUCAAUGCCGAUAAUUCCUUGAUCAUAACUAAUGGAAUAAAGAUCCAAUUUUUUCACAAUAUCUUUCACAAUUUCUUCAACAAGUGUGUUUUC